AUCUUAUGUAUAUUUAUUUAGAUAUUAUCCAUCUUGUGCUUGCAGCAAAUAACAAAUUAAGUUGUCUAGGAUCAUUUUUAAUAUAUUUUUUCAUACAUAAAUAAAUAAAUAAAUAUAAUUUUCCUGUAGAAUAAAUAAUUAAAUAUUUUACACACAAUUUAUCAUAAAUUUGUUAAUUUCUACUUCUUUGUUAAGGUGGCUUAUGGUUUCGUCUUUUUACAUUGGCAAUGUAACCUACUGGUAAAACAUGGACAAC
rnacentral:lncRNA from 1 species